rfam:Cricetulus griseus cell line CHO-K1, whole genome shotgun sequence.
GUAUGUGAGGGUGAUCUGGACGUGAUGUCUCCAGGGUUAACUCAAGUGAUCUGCAUGGCUAGGCCGGUGUCCCCUCUGUCUUCCACUAUCCCUUCUCCAUUCCAUCUGCAUCCUUCCCAAAGUGUCAAGGUGGGCUGAAAAUAACAGCUUUCCCCAUUAGAGGAAGAAUGGCUGUUCAUCACGUUAGGGUGCUUGAGGAGCUGCACUCCACUCAGAACCUCCAGACAAGCUUCUAGAAAACUGCUUGGCAGUCAGUAGCAGCAGUGAUUCAGAAAUCCCACUCUCAGAUAUACAUUAAAAAAUGCACACACAUGUGA